rnacentral:rRNA from 1 species
CAAUAGCGUAUAUUAAAGUUGUUGACAGUUAAAAAGCUCGUAGUUUGGAUUUCUGGCAGGAGCGACCGGUCAUGCACUAUGUGCGUGAACUUGUGUUGUCUCUGGCCAUCCUUGGGGAGAUCCUGUUUGGCAUUAAGUUGUCGGGCAGGGGAUACCCAUCGUUUACUGUGAAAAAUUAGAGUGUUUAAAGCAGGCUUAUGCCGUUGAAUAUAUUAGCAUGGAAUAAUAAGAUAGGACUUCGGAACUAUUUGUGGUUUGCGUUACGAAGUAAUGAUUAAUAGGGACAGUUGGGGGUAUUCGUAUUUCGUUGUCAGAGGUGAAAUUCUUGGAUUUCCGAAAGACGAACUACUGCGAAAGCAUUUUACCAAGGAUGUUUUCAUUAAUCAAGAACGAAAGUUAGGGGAUCGAAGAUGAUCAGAUACCGU